UUGAUGAGAGAUCUAAUGAUUCAAGCUCUGACAAAUCACCUAAAGAUGAUGGGAUAGGACCUAUUAAACAGUUAUGGGAGAGGUUAAGGACAAUAAGUAAAUGAAGCUCACCAAGUAUUUUUGGAAUUUCUCCCCUGAAUUGAUUACUAGAAAGGUCAAUAACCGUCCAAAUGGAUAAUAGUGAUUCAAACUUUGUUUCCAACCCUUUUUCUGUAAAAGAUAAAUCACUACCAUAAUUCACUAUAACUUGACCAAAUUUGUCUUUCAUGUACUCUGGUUCAAUUUUCUUUCCAUACCCUUCUCUAAUGGCAUGCAAAUGUUCAAAAAAAAGGGUAGGUAAGUAGCCACUAAAGUUAUUGUGAGAAAGAUCAAUGAUACGCAAAUGAGUUAAAGAAACUAUAACAUCAAAGCUAUCCACUUGACCAUAAAAUCCAUUCGACCUCAAGAUAAGAACAUGCAGCCGGUCCAAAUUUCCUAACCAAUUUGGGAAAGUGUCAUUCAAAUUGUUGUUUCCAGCAUUAAGAAGGUUUAAAUCAUUGCAAUUAGCCAAAGAUCGUGGUAGUGACCCUUCUAAUUUAUUGUUGUUGAUGCGAAAACUUUUCAACAUGCAACCUUUAGCAAAAUUUUCUGGUAUUUGACCAUGAAAAUUAUUAUUCCCUAGAUCAAUUUCUAAGAGAGAAGAACUCAAGUUUCCAAUGCACUCUGGAAUUGUUCCAUCCAAAUUAUUCUUAGAUAGAUCGAGACCCAUAAGAGAAGUCAAAUUGCAUACUGAGGAAGGGAUUUCUCCAAUUAAAUUAUUGUUCGAAACUCCAUACCAUUGCAAUGAAGGUGGUGGUGUUGGCAUUCGGCCAUGGAAAUAAAAUUGGAAUAGAGUUAGAAUUAAGGGUUUGAAGAUUCUUUGAAACAAAAAAUGCAAAAUAAGUACAUGUAUCAUGUGUAUAACCAAUAAAAAUAAUUGGUUAAAUUACAACAGUACUUCUAACAAUUUUUAGAUGCACGAGAACAAUUUUUAAGUUGUAAUCUAUCUAAAGAAACUACUACUACGUUCUAAAGAAAUUUUUAUUUCCAUUACUUAAAAUUAAAAAGAGAUUGCAUAAAUGUAUAAAAAAUAUAUAAAAGAAAAACAAAAGACGAAUUACCUCUCAAUUUGUUAUAAAAGAGAUAAACAUAUGUAAAUGAAAUCAAUUUUCAAUAACUUGAGGAAUUUUAUAUAUCUUUUGUUUUUCUUUUAAUAUCUUACUUAUUUUUCAUAGUUUAUGUUUAGAGUUCACUGCUCUUCCCUUAAGAGUGUAAUAUAUCUUGCCACUGCACCAAAUGCUUAUUGGUGUAGUAUUUAUUAUAGCUAUAAAUAGUUUUAACUAUUUUUUUAUUAAACUCUAAGUUAUAGCUCAAAUCAUAAAGCAAAUUAGUUGAUAUAAUGUAUAGUGUUUUUUAUCACUAUAAUUUAUGUUAAAUUUUGUUGAGUUUAAUAUUCAAAAUACCAUAUUUGAUAUAUAUUGAAUUUAAUUAAUUUGUAAUUCAAAUUAAUAUUUUUAUUAUAUCAAUAUUCCUACAUUUUUCUAAUUUCAGAGUAGUUAAAGGAUACAUUUUUUUAAGCUAAAAGUAUUAUAUGCAGAAGUUACAAGAUUAUAAAGCUAAUUAGUAAUAUAUAGCAAAAUUCUAUUACAACUAGUAGAGACUGCAUAACUGUAACAACACAAAAGAGAAUAAAGAUGAUAUUAUACCUGUUUAGUUAUUACUUUGAAGACCGCUGUACACGAGGGAAGUAAGACUUCCAAAAAUGGAUGGAAUUUCACCUAAAACAUAUAAUUAAAAUGGUCAACAUUUAUUUAUCUUUUUUUUUUUUGUAACAGACCUUAAUUUCAAUGCGGAUAGGUAUACGUCUCUCUGUUUCUCUGUAAUUAAACCUAGAACUCUAUUUCUUUCCUAUUCAAUAAUAUCAACUAUGGCUAGUUACAAGUCUUGUGUGAUUCAAUAAAUUUUCAAUACUGUUUUCGAAAGGUAGCAAAUUAAAAUUCAAAUCUUAAAUUAAUUUAAUGGAAAAUUUAAUUAAGGCCCCAACUACAUAAAAACAGAUUCAAGAUAGCAAUGUGAAUAAAUUAUAGAGUAAGUAUUGCAUGAAACAAUUACAUCACAUUUGCAUAGGCUUUUUUUCAAUCCACGAAAUCAUAUUUCUUAAAAAAUCAACUAUUUAUUAAUUUAAUCAUUAAUGAAUUGUUGAAUUAAAUUGUAUCAUUUAAUUAUAACAUGUAAUGUAUAAUUUAAUUUUUACGUUUUUUAUUUUUCAAGAUAUUCAUGAGAGCGAUCGAGCCAACAAAAUGAUUGGUUAAUUUACUUUCCAACAUUUUGCGUUUUCUAGAUGUUUAAGAAAGACCAAGAUUUUAAUAUAUUAAAAGGAAACUUUAGGUAAUUUUUAUUUUGAUAUAUUGAAAGGAAACUGCUACAAUUACCUUUCAACCUAAACUUUAGGUAAUUUUUAUUUUGAUUAUGGAUUGUAUAAAUUUAAUAUAAAAAGGGAAAAAGAAAAAUAUGAAAUUAUACCUGUUAAUUUAUUAUUAGAAAGAUAAAACUCUUGGAGAAAAGUUAAAUUUUCAAUACCAAAAGGAAUUUCACCUGAAACAUAUAAUUAAAUGAAUCAAAAUUUACAAAUAAGUAAAACAAGUUUAAUUGACAUUUCGGGGAUCAUUAUUUAUAUGAAAUUUUAGUACUAAAAGGAACAAAAUAGUCCAAAAAUUGCAAACAGAAGCAGAAAUUAAAAGGGAGAGGAAGCUAGUUUUUGUCAUAAAGUUGGGUUAAUAUUUUGAUUCUAAGGAAAAAUAAUUGAGUUAAUAUUUUUCUAAAGUUAGCUUUAAAUAUUUUGAUUCUAAAGAAAUCCCAAAAUGCAAGACUUAAUUCUCAAAUUCAACAGUACAUCCAAUGGCAAGACAGCAACGCAUUCUCAAAAGAAAAUCCACAAAUAAAGACAUGUGAGGAGGGCCAAGGCAAAGUGGCAAACAAGACAUUAAUUACAUACUUUUUUACAUAAAUAUAAUUUUAUUUAGUGUUGCUAGGCAUUAGUUUGUUUUAUAUUAAAUAUCAUACAUGCAAAAUCUAUUUAUAUUAAUUAUUUUACUAACUUAUAAACAGUGAAUCCAAACAAGUUUGACUACAUCAAGUUAAAAAAAUUUAAAAAUUUCAAAUUUGAAUCAAUUUAGGUGAUUUCAUUUAACAUUCAAAUUAUUUAGGUCUGGGUCAUUUAAGUCAUGUAAUUUGUUAUAUAAAUUAUUAAAUAUCUUUUUACCAUCAUUUCUUACAUUUUUCUCACGUUAAAAAUUGUUGAGUAUCAAAUGCAUCAUUAAUUUUUCUCCUUUCAUCCAAAAGGAUUAUAUUAAGAGAUUAAAUUAUUGUAAGCUAAUUAAUAAUAUAUUAAAAAUUGUAUUUAUAUGCGUGAAAUUUAUAAUUUUAAAAUAAUAUACAAUAAAUAAUGAAACGUAUAGCUCAAAACUAAUUAAUAAUAACACAUGUAAUAUGUAUGAUGUUAAAAUGAAAAAAAUAGAUUUAAAUUGUUUAUUAAGAUGUUGUCAUCAAUCUUGAGUUAGUGUUGAGUUAACCUGUGAGAUGAACACAGUAAAACACUUAAUAAAUAAUAUAAAUAUACAAUUGAUGGAAGUAAUAAAAUGCGCAUAAUAAAAAUUGAAAUGUCUAAAAACAUUAAAAUAAAGUUCUAGAUGAGUGGUUAAUUAAAAAUUUUACUAAUACAAGUGGUACGAGUUCAAAUCCCACAAUAGGUAUAUUUUUAUUGUUUUUUAAAUUAAAAAGCUAAAUUACCUUUGGAUAAUAUAACUUAUUUUAAUAAUGGAAGGGUGUUUCCAUAAUUUUUUCUAACUAGAGGUGGUGACCCGGUUGAGAGUGACCCCAAUUCAGUAAAGCACUUAAUAAAUAAUACGGAUUGAAUAAAUAUAAAAAAAUGAGAAGAAAAUGAUAUCUUUGCAUCAAUGUUUUCGGAAGUAGUCAAAAUUUCCAUAAUUGAUAGAAUAAAUAUAUAAUCAUGUUUAGGUUGGUGGUAGAAUUAUGUUAUCUUUUGCAUUUGGAAUUUAGGCAAUUUUGGUUGGUCUGUAAUCAGAGCAAUAACUCAUAAUACCCUAACUUAGCUAAUUUGUGAUCCAAGGCAAAUCUUAACAUCUUCUAAGGUUUAAUGUAGAGGGUGGAUGUGAAAUGCCCAAACACAGUUCAACUUCAGCAAUUCAAAUAGUUUUGGAUGUUUUUAGAAAAAAAAUUGUAAACUCAAGGUGAAAAUUUAUGAUUUUUUUAGUUGUGUUGUGACUUGUGAUUAGUUCCUUUAGUUAAGCACAUUAUUGAAGUAUGACAAACUUACCUGAAAGUUGACAUCCUCUUAAAUCAAGAUAAUAUAAUUGAGGAAGGCGAUCAAACAUAUUUGACAAGAGAUGACCAAAGAGAUUGUUGUCUGCCAAUGCAAUUAGUUGCAAUGAAGAAAUGUUGAAGAUUGAGUAAGGAAUAACACCUGCAAGAAAUUAGAUCAAUCAUUUCUUGGCAUAAAGAAGGUAUUAAACUAUGUAAAAUUCACAUGUGGAAGAUUUAUUAUUUGAUGUCAUCUGAUCCAAUCUGUUAAAAAAAUUGUAAAUUUAGGGUGAAAUUUUAUAAUUUUUCUUCACGCACUUAAGUCCUAAUAGCUAAAAGUAUCAAAUGUGUAAUCAAUUUGCUUUUCUGUAUUACUAUAUUAAGAAACUAAAACUUAACAACAUAAAAAAAUAAAGGUUCUAAGGUACUUGCCUCUGUCAUUUUUAGAAUUUUAUUAAAGCAGCAGAACGGUCAUUUAGCUUAUCAUAAAAGUCAUGAUGUUCUGUCCAAGUGAUUAUUACCCAAAUAUAAAUAUUAUAACUUUCCUAUGUCCAAACAAGUGAAGGAAAAGGUACUCGAACAUAUUCCACCGUAGAUGAGCAAGGGUUAUCAAAUAUUCUUGAUAAUAGACGGCUAGUUCUAAGAUAAUUGCAUGUUUUGAUCCCUAAACCUUGGGUUAUUUACAAGUUGGUCCCUAGUGCUCAACUAGAAAUAGGCCUAACCAUUUCAUCAUUCAAAAUAUCUAAAAUUUGGUCACUUUCUUUGUAAGACAAUUUCUCUCUCUCCCUAUUUGUAGUUUUUACUUGUACUGUUUGAAAUGAAAUAUAUUUAGUAGUGUCUAAGGACAUAAGUAUAGUUUGCCAAACCUCGUUAAAAAUCUAGUAUUCUUUAUUGUGUUUUUUGUUUCUUUCAAUAUUUUGUGGGUACAAUUAUAGUGAUAUAUUGUCCUAUUAAAUUACAUUAGAGAGAGAUUCUUUCUAGAAGAUCGAGUUUUAAGCGGAACUGUCUGUGAUCCCUUUAAUCUUUCUUAAGAAUUUAAUUUAAUGUGGUUUUCGAGUACAAUAAUUCACUUUUUUUACCCUAUUCGCACAACAUAAAAAUAUAUUCAAAAUAAAAUAAAAAAAACAUGAAACUUGAAAGAGAAUUAUUAUCCAAAUAUUCAAGCAUGGUGCUAGUGAGAUCCAUUUGAGUUUAAUAUUCAAUUUAUUAUGUUUAUUGGGUCUUUGCAUUUAAGUAAUCUGCAAUGCAAAUUAUUAUACCAAUAUUUCCUACAUUGUUAUAACGUUAAACUAGUUAAAAUAUCAAAUGUAUCAUUAGUUUUUUAAACCAAAAUUAUUAUAUUAAGAAACUAAAGGAUUGUAAGCUAAUUAAUAAUAAAACGAUAUUACAUAUUUACCUGUUAAACUGUUAUUACAAAGAUCAAUGAACUUGAGAAAAACCAGGUUUCCGAUACUCAUUGAAAUUUUACCUGAAACAUAUAAUUAAAUUCAUCAAAAAAACUUACUAGAAAAACUCAUGUACUAUGUUUCUCUAUAAUCAAAGCUAGAACUCAUGUACUAUGUUUAUGUAAUCUACUGGAUGGUUUUCUUAAGGGUAAAAUUACGUAAUUUGAUGUAAUUGUUUCAUACAUAAUCCUUUCUUAUUAAUUAUAUUUGUGACAAACAUUCGGAUUAUCUAUAUAGUCAACAAAAUGAUUGGUUAAUUUUUUUCACAACAUGUAUUUUCUUAACUCUAAGAUUUUUAUCUAUUAAAAGAAAACAACUACAAUUACCUUAUAACGAAAACUUGAGGUAACUUUUAAGUUAAUUAUGAAAUGUAUAAAUUUAAUAAUAAUAAAAAAGAAAUGAAAGAUGAAAUUGUACUUGAUAAUUUGUUAUUGACAAGAUAAAAUGUUUGGAGAGAAGUCAAAUUUUCAUUAAUGGAAAAUUUUCACAUGAAAUAUAUAAUUAAAUUAAUUGAAAUUUACAAAGAAAUAAAACAAGUCUAAUAGACGUUUCGAGCAUAAUGAAUUAUACGAGAUUUUAGUGUUACAUUGUAAACAACAGCAUAAACUUAAAAAAAGGAGAGGAAACUAGUUUUUGCCAUAAAGGGGUUAAUAUUUUUAUUCUAAGGAAAGGAUAUAAGACAAAUCAUACUGAGAGAGACAACUGAGUUAAUAUUUUUCUAAUGUCAGCUUAAUAUUCUUUAACUAUUUUCUUUUUAUUCUAAAGAAAUCCCAAAAUGCAAGGCUUAAAUCCCAAAUUCAAGACUACCUCUAAUUUCAAUUGCAAAAAUAAAUGGCACAAAAGGAAACCCUUAAAAUACAUUCGAUUGCAAGUCAGCAAUGCAGUCUUUAAAAAACCCCAAUCUUCUUUUAGAAGUAAAAGACGGUCUCUCUAAGAGAAAGAGACGAGUGCCAAGGCAAAGUGGCAAAAGAUACAUUUGCAUAUAUAAUUUAUUUAGUGUCACUAGACAUUAGUUAUAUAUAUUACUAAGUAUUAGAUUUCAUAUAUAUAUGAAAAAUCCAUAUAUUACUUAUUUUAUUAAUAUAUAAACAGUAAUUCGUUUACAUGAUUUCAAUGUCGAAAAAACAAAAUAUUUUAGAUUUAAGGUUGAUUCUUUUAAGAUUAAUAUUCAAGCUAUUCAGAUUUAAAACAAUUGUUCAUAUAAAUUAGAUAAGAAAAUGAAUGAAACGAUAAUCCGGAAUUGUUUACCUUUGAGGUUGUUGCUUUCAAGAAUCAAAUUUUCGAGCAAAGUCAAAUUCCCAAUUUCUGCAGGUAUACUUCCCUCCAAGGAGUUGCUAUACAAUGAUAAAAACUUCAGUUUUUUGCACUUGAAUAAACUAUUUGGAAUUCUACCAGAAAUUCGAUUUCUACCCAAGCUCAAUCUUUCUAGUUUUGACAAAUUGCCCAAAGUAGAUGGGAUAACACCAUCAAAGUUGUUACCGUACAGAUAUAAUUCUUGAAGUUUAGCGAAGGAACCAAAACACAAUGGGAUUUCUCCAUUGAAAUUGUUGUUACCUAAGUGAAAAUAUUUCAGCCGAUGCAAAUCUGCAAAUUCAAUGGAUAUAGAGCCAUGGAAAUUAUUGUCAUGAAUGUCGAGCCAACCAAGGAAAGAUAGAUUUCCUAAUUGAGAAGGGAUGGUGCCAGUGAGAUCCAUAUGUGAUAAAUUCAGAGCAAUAACUCUUUGGUGUUUGGAUCCACAGGUGACACCAAUCCAGUUGCAAACAGAGGCCGAAGUAGACCAACUGGUUACCAAGAAGUUAUGAGGAUUAUGAACUAUAUGAGAUUUUAGUGCUGGAAGGGCCGAUUGAUCUAUGGUGAUGUUAGAAUAUUUUGCAGACAAAAUAACCCCAAAGGUGGCAAAUAGCAGCGCAAACAUAAAAGAAAGGAGGAAGCUUGGUAUUGCCAUAAGGUUGGAUAUGGGUGUAAGGCAAAUCAUAGGGAGAGAAACAACUGAGUUUUUUACCUCUCUAAUCUUACUGCAACAUUCUUUAAAUACUUUGAUUCUAAGGAUUUAGGCAAGGCAUCCAUUGACUCAUAAUUUGAGUAAGAAAUAUGUACAAUUUUGUGGUUGCAACAUGAAUUUAAGUAUUAAUAAUUGAGAAAUUAAAAUUUAAAAAAUAAUUGAAAAUUUAAAUAAAAACAGUAAGAUCCAGAAAAAAAUAGUGAAAUACCCGUAAAACUAGAAGCAGGACAUAGAUUGGGAAGGCGGUGUCGGUUUCUAGACUUUGGAAUUUUUAAUGAAUGGCCACCUUUUUUCAACCACUAAUUUCAGACAAGCUUUCCACAAGAUAAUGUUAUUUUAAGACUGCAUUACUGACGUUUGGGCCAAAGGAUGAAUUAAUUUUCAACUUUUUACCCUUACUUUCCAUUUUCAAUUAUUCUUUGUUUCAUCAAUGGGAAAGCAACUAUUUUGUAACUCUCCACUUCAAUUCACAUCUUUUUUUGUUUUAUAAUAAAUGGAACUAUAGUUGAAGUUGCUGUAUUGUGUUAAUGGAAGCGUCCACUUUUAUCAUUACUUCAACAAAAUGUAUAGAUGUGUACAUUCGGUUGGUUGGAUUUUUUAUAUAAAAUUUUUGAUUAGGUUCAGUUUAGCUUUUAGCUGCUUUUUUUUAGUUAGAAAAGAUUUCUACAUGAAGUAGUUAUAAUUUUAUUUCCUUUAAUUUUUCUUUCAAAUAGUUGUCUCCUUUCUUCAAUUUACUAUAUUGUAUUACUUUUAAUUUUACUAACUGUGAAUUAUUCUAAAAGGAUCACAAUUUAUAGCUUUCAGGUUGAGAAAGCAACCAUAUUUUUCAGGUAAUUUUUUUGUAUUACCAAAGCAAGAUUGAAAUGGAAUUUGGAUUAUACGCAAAGCAUAUUUUUCAUUCAUUCUGUAUGAUAUUUGAAUUUAAAUAAAUUUGAAGAAUUUAAAAAAAUAAUAAAAAAGAGAAGGAUUUAUUUUUAUUAUUUUUAUAUCUUUUAAGGGCUAUUUAAAUUUAAUCUCAGAAGGAAACAGACCUAACAUGCUAAUAGACCAAAUGUUUAAUUAGUACAGUGAUACUAUCAUGCAACAACUCUUUUUCAGCCAAUCUAAAAGGUUAAUUACUUCAUCAGGUCCUUGAACAUUUUGCCCUUGCACACUUCUACCAAUUUGUUAGGCGACACAAAAAAUUGUGUUUUUUUUUUUAGAUUUUUAGGGUGGUGCCGCUUGAGAAAGUGAUGACACCCAACUCUACUAUAGAAAUCAGGUCAUUUCCAUAAUUAAUCUUAAAGUUUGGUCAUUUUCAUAAAAUUUUAAACUUAUAGUGUCAGAUUCCUAAAAAAAACUUUACUUUAUUGCGUGGUAAACUUCUUCAGUUUGAUGUAUAUAUAAUAAGUUUGUUAUAAUAAUGUUAUUUCAAAUCAAUUAAAUAAAUUUAUAAUCACUUAUGAUAUAUUGAUUUUAAUUAGAAAAGCGAAAUUUUAUAUAAGGUCAUCCUGUAGAUAAAAGAUGGCAGCUGAUUAUUCGCAAUUGAUUAUUCUUUGAUAAAAAUAAAUCAUGGGAGUGAGGAAUUAUUAAGACUGUUGUUUGAUAAAAAGAGUUUUCUUAAUGCAUAGACUUGUUUGUAUUGGAUCCCUUUUAUGAGGCAAAAAGGAUAUACUUGUCCAAGGGUGAAUUGUGUAAGUCAAGAUCUUUGCAAUAGGAUAGCUACAAGGAAUCUUCAGCCCUCUCUUUUUCUUAACUCUAUCUUCCUCUCAUUUUCUUAGGCAUGACAUUCUGGUCUAUUGUUUGUUUGGAUAUGAUUUGUUGUGUCCUACGAUGUUAAUACUUAGAUUCUAAGGAUUUAAGCACAACAUAAACUAUGAUAUAAGUGGUGUCGUAUUAUAAUUAUUAGUCCAAUUAAUUAUGAAUUUGAUUUCUUAUUUUUUUUUUAGUAAUUUUUCAUUGAAAAUCAAAUAAUCAAAUACAGAAAUAAUUGAUGUCGUUAUUGAUAUUGACGCUAAAGCCCAAGUCAAGAGUCUUCGUUUGCAUGCUACCUGUACAAAUACAUUAAGGAAACAAGGCAACCUCGUUGUGUUACUAAGUUAGUGAGUGAUCUAAGAAGCAUGUCAGCUCCAAAUGAAAACAAAUUUUCAGUACUAAUGUCAAUCACAUUUCAAAGACAUAUUUUAACUAAGAUUGAGACCAAUUUUUUAAUUUAAAGUCUAAAAAUAUUGAUUGAUAAUGCUACGAACCAACAUGACACUGGAUCCUUUCAUUUCUUUUUCCACUAGUGCUUGAUGGGUUAUUAUAAAGGGUUUGAUUGAUAAAAGAUCAAAUGAGUUUGUUGGAAUUAUUUAUUAAGUGUUUGUUUUUAUUUUGAUUGAAUCAAGUGAUUUAAAAUUUUAGAAGUGUUGUUUUCUAUUUUUAGUGUUUUUUUUAUUUAGGGUUAUGAGUUUUUGAGGUUGAUGAACAAAAACUGAAACUGAGACUUGAUUGUGUUCAUUAAUUUUGGGAUAUAGAUUUUUUAUUUUUGUUAAAUUUUUUAUUGCUUUUAUCUGAGAUUAAUACUAAAAACUGUUCAGUUUUCGUCCAUUAAAUUGUUGAAGAAGAAUGUUCUAUACUUGAAAUUUUUUGUGUUUGGUUGAAUCCAAAUGGUUUUAAAAAAUUUCAAACAAAUUUUUUUGUUCACUUUCAAUUUUGAUCCAUUAAUUUGGGGGUUAAUUUUUGCUUUUUUUAUUUUUUUUUUUGUUCAUGGAUGAAGCUCUUUGUAGGUGACGUGUAUGUUAAAAAAGUAAAGAAAAUGGUAUUAACAAUUGAGAAAUUAAAACUUCAAAAAAAUUGAGAAAUUAAAUAAAAACCAUUAUGUUAGAAUUAGUGAAAUAUUAGCUCAUAGAAACACUUUAUAAUUUUAGUGAAAUAUUAUUUUUAUAUUUUAAUUAUUUUUAUAUUUUUAUAUAACUUUUUAGAAUCAAAAUGAUAGAAUAUGUAAAAUUUAGAGAGUUAAAUUGUUAUUAGACCAAUAAAAAAAUGAGUUAGCACUUCCGUCAAUUAAUUUUCAGUGACAAAAAAAAUUGAUUUCGAAUAGUUUAGUAACAAAAUUGAAAAAUUUAAAAGUUUAAUGACCAAAAUAGAAUGUGGGUAAUAGUUUAGUGACAAUUCCUACACUUUAUCCUUUUUUAAAUGGUAAAUAAUUUUUGGCAUAAUGACUUAUUUGGCCCUCUAACUUUAAAAAAAAAUCAUUUUAGCCUUCUAUUUAAUUUUUCGCUUUUUUUAACACUUUAACUUCUGUUUUUUUAUCAAAUCACCCCCACAUAGUUUCCAUAUAUAUAUAUAUAUAUAUAGCAGCAUUUCUUUUUUCCUCAAUCAAGGAAUAAUAUUUCAAUAAUUAAAACUCAACAGAUUCAUAUAUAUAUACACAAAAUAAUAGGAUCACCCUUGCAAAUAGAAGAUGACAGCUGAGUAUUCUUUGAUAAAAAGAGUUUUCUUAAUGUAUAUACAAGUAAGAAGGCCCUAACUUUGGUUGAUUGAAACGUGUUUGAUGGAGAUCCUCUCAACUUCUUCUUCACGGUUGCUCCCAACUUCUUUCUAACAUGAAUUCAAAAAAUGACCACUUUUUCCAACAUCUAAUUUGAAAAUUGGUCCCCUUACCUUAAGACAAAUCAAACCUAAGUUUCCACAAGAUAGACUUGUUUUAAGACUGCAUGUGAGGACCAGUAAGCAGGAUUCAACUAAAAAUGAGAUGAUUUUUCAGCUCUCCAUUGAUUAGAGCAACUUCCACCUCUAUCGUUUUCAUCACAAAUAAUAAAUAAGUGGAGUCUGUAUUGGCAUUGACACCAAAGUCCAAGUCAAAAGAGUCUUUAUUUUCAUCAUAAAUAAUAAAUAAGUGGAGUUCAGCCGCAUCAUUAAUUAUAUUCUCUAGAUAUAUUAACCAAAUUAUACCUAUAUACCAUAUAUGAAACUUGGUACAAGAAUUGAUUGAUUUAGAAGCAUCCACUUUUCUCUUAAUUCAAACCUUUUCUUCUUAACCAACCAAUCAACACAAACGCUAAAUUUCUUGAAAAUACACUAAUUUUGUUUAAUUAUUAAAACUGUUCAUUAGCUCUAAGAGAAAUAAUAUAAAUUCAUAGUCCGAUUUCAAUAAGAGAAAUCAAGUUUCCAGUCACUCGAAACACAAUUAAAUAGGUUAAAGUUUAGCAGAUACUAUUUCUUUGUUCAACACUAUAGGCGUCUGUUUUCUUUUCUUUACUACUUUUUUAAACAUGUAAAUUUCUUUCAAUUUGAUAGUCUUAUGAAAAAACCCUCAAAGUUAUAAAUCCCUAACCACAAAUCACCACAAGAGAUCACAAAAAAUAAAACAUCUGAGACAUCCAAAAGCACUAAAGUAGUGAAGACAUCGCAUUUCAUAGUUGUAGAGGAGGAUUAGAUACUCCUCCUAAUCUAAUUAGCUCUGUUAUAUUAGCAAUCGAAACACAAGAUAAUUUUUAUACCUAUAAAUAUAACUAUUUCCAAAGCCAAACAUGGGAAGAGUGUGGGCAUUAAAGCUGUGUGAAGAUGAGCCUACUUUAAACUUGGAAAAAGUAUGGAACCAGAAAGAUAAUUAUUAUACAAUAUAACUAUUUCAACUUUACUGGGCUCCUACCAUAAUAUACCACAUAAAAAAUAAUAAUUCUUGAAAAGGAGAUUUUUAGAUUAGGAGUGUAAUUGAAAUGGGUGGUGGGAGAGUUGUAUGAGCUCAAGUUGAGGAGAUUUUGAGAGGCGAAAGAAGUUGUCGAUAUCAAUGAUAAAAAUAUCAAUUUACAAUGCUUCGAACCAACAUGCCACUAGAUCCUUUUCACUUUUUUCAUCGGUGCUUGAUGGUUAUUAUAAGGGCUUGACUGACAAAAGAUUAAAUGAGUUUUAUUGGAAUGAUUGAUUAUUGGAUUCUUUUUAUUUUGGUUGAAUUAAGUGGUUUACAAUUUAUUUAUUUUUUGUUGGAAUGAGUUUUUGAAAUUGGUGAGCAAAAAUUGAUACUGAGAUUUGAUUGUGUUUAUCAAUUUUGGGAGAUUUUGGUUUUUGUUCAAAUUUUCAAUGCUUUUAACUGAGAUAUUAAAACUGAAAAAAAAGAGAGUCAGUUUUCAUUUAUUAAUUUGUUGAAGAAGAAUGCUCUAUGUUUGAGUUUUUCGGUCUUUGAUUGAAUCAAGUGCUUUAAUAUAAUUUCAAACAAAAUUUUUGUUCACUUUCAAUUUUCAUUUAUCAAUUUGAGGCUUGAUUUUUGCUUUUUUUUCAUUUUUGUUGUUCAUCAAUGAAACUUUUUGGAGGCGAUGAGUAUGUUAAAAAGGUAAAAAAAAAAAUGGCAUUAAUAAUUGAAAAAUUACAGUAUGUUCUAAAAACAAUUAGUGAAACAUGCACUUAUACAAGCACUUUAUAUUUUUGCAGAAAUAUUAUUUUAUAUAUUUAACAAUUUUAAGAUUUUUUAAAUAUUUUUAUAUAAAAUUUUAGGAUCAAAUUGAUAGAAUCUGUAAAUAUUAGAGGGUUAAAUUUGUUAUUAGACCAAUAAAAAAGUAUUCAGCCCUUCCAUCAAAUUUCAAAUGGUUGUUAACUUUCAAUGACCAAAAAAUAGUGAUAGAAUAUAUAAACAUUAGAAGGUUAAAUUUGUUAUUAGACAAAUAAAAAAUACUUGUUAGCACUUUCAUCAAAUUUCGAAUGGUUGUUAACUUUCAAUGGCCAAGAAAACUAAUUUUGAAUAGUUUAGUGAUUAAAUCAAAAAAAGUAAAAGAUCAUUUAAUUAUUUUUUUCAGAUUUUAAAAAUUAUUUUGAAAAACAAAAAAUCAUUAAAACUAUUAAAAAAUAUAAAGUAUUAUCUAAAUAUUUUUAAAAUUUUAAAAUUAAUUAAAUGCUGACAUGUCAUCCACGUUAGCAAAAUUAACAAAUGUUAACGUUUUCAUCCGUUUUGGGUUGAUUUGACAAAAAAUACAAGUUCAAGGGUUAAAAAAGAAAAAAAAUUAAAUAGACAAUUAAAAUAAUUGUUUUUAUAAAAUUGGAUGACAAAAAAGUCCAUUCACAAAACAUGUUUUUGGUAAUUUUAUAUUCCCUAAAAAUAUCACUUUUAUGUUAAAAUUUGUAAACUUCAUCUCAAUGAUAUUAGAUAUUUUAAUUAAUUAAAUUUUAUAAAUAUAUAUUGAAAGUUUUUAUAAUAUAUAUUUUUUCUGUUUUGCCCUGUGUUCCUCUGUUUUGUUCUGUUCCUGUGAUGUUGGGUUUUUUUACCAUGGUUUUUAUGUCGAAUACUAAUUAAAAAAAGAGUUUAAUUUCCGAUAUCGGCCUAAUUAUCAUGUGUUCCUUUCAAUUAGAUGUUAUAGACCGACCAUGAAGAUUUCAAAGUGUUGUAGGAAUCUAUCUUUUGAAAUUGUUUUCAGCGACCAUCAAGUUUUGAAGCUUUUGACAAAUUGGCCAAAGUUGAUGGGAUAAAACCAAUGAAUUUGUUGAUGUAUAGAUACAAGCUCUGAUGUUUUAUUUGGAGUCUAAUGGUUGCAACAUGUUUGAUGAUGAUCCUCAACUCUGAUUGAAUCUAUUAUUUAAUAUCAGACAAAAUAAAACAUUGAGAUGAAACUAUUUCAAUUUUCAUGUUCUUUGAUGAUUUGUCUUGCUUCUCUUCUCUCACUUGUUUUAUAUAUAUAUAUAUAUAUAUAUAUAUAUAUAUAUAUCUCGUUGUUUGAGAUGUUGUAGUUUGAUUCCUGCAUUGCACUUGUAACAAAAUCAUGAUUCAGACCAAAGUCUUGUAGAUUGUAAUUUUGCAUUAUUUCACCUCCCUUGAUUCUUGACAAACUGUCUUUGGUAGCAAUCAACCUCUCUUGGAGUAUCUACUCCUAAUUCCAAAUAUAAUUUACUUUCUUCGUUCUAAGCCACAUCAAAUAUAUCAAAAAGGCAAAAGGUGCCAAUUAAGACGGUCUUUAUAAUCUAGUGCACCGCUAAAAACAUCAAGAAAACAUAAUAUAAACCACACAACAUACAAUAAUCGAGAUUUUUUUUUUUUUGCCAAUUUCCUUUAAGUAGCCUUAAAUCUCUAAUAAGAGGACAUGACGGUUAAAAUUUGAUAUUAUAAUAAAUUUGACUCUCAAUUUUUACUUUCUGUAUCAAUUUAGUCAUUAUUUUAAAAGAUUAAUCUUUAAAAUUUACAAAUAAUCUCAAUUUGAUCAUCAAAAUUUACCUUUUCUUUCCACUUCCUCCGCUACCACUAUCAUCAUUGCCUCCAGCUCCACCUUCUAUUAGUAUGUUUUUGUUUUGGUCACCUAACUAUGAAAAUUUUCAAUUUUAUCACUAUCGUUUUAGAUCAUUUCUAAUUUGCUCACUUUUUAGAUCGUUUUUAUUUUACUCAAUCUUCGUUAAAUGGUUAACCAAAGUUAUAAUGUAACCUUUUUUUUAACUAGUAUAAGAAACACAAUUAGUCUUCAAUACUUCCACAUUCUAUCAAUUUGAUCCUCGAACACAUACAAUUAAAUAUAAAAUAUAUAUAUUACGAAAACAUACAAAAUUUAAUUAUUUAUAUAUAUUGUUAGAGUUGUGUGACCCAAAUUCUAAGAGAUUCCUUGCAAGUCAAGUUAAACAAAGUAUAUCUUCUUUCUAAAAGAUUUAGUAUUUAUGAGUAUAAUAUAUUUACCAUUUAUUAGCAUAAUAUCUUUGACUUUGAUUAGAAUUAGGUUUUUUCAACCUUUAAAUAGAUGUAGUCAAAACUCCUCUUGUAAUCAUUUUAAAUUCGACAUAGUGAAUUCUCUUCACCUCUGCCCAUGGUUUUUUCCCGAAAGGGUUUCCACAUAAAAAUUUGUUUGUAUUCUUUAUUUUUAUUUUUCUUUUCUUUGCGAUAUAUUGUCAUUACUGACAUUUUAUUUUAACAAAUUGGUAUCAGAGCUUCCAGGUUGUUUAUCUCAAUCACGAUAAUGGCGUUUUUGAAGUACGAAAUUUUGCUGUUAGAUCACAACACUAGAUUCACGUUGUGGCAGAUAAAGAUGUAGGCAGUUCUUGCAUAGAUGGACUUAGAGGAAGCCGUGCUAGGGGUAGAUAAGAUGCCUUCAACAUUAACGGAGGAAGAGAAGAAGCGCAAGGAUCUAAAUGCAUUAACACAGUUACAUCUGCAUUUGUCUAACAAAAUUUUACAUGAUGUGAUGAAGGAGAAGGUUGUCACUAGAUUAUGCAAGAGGUUGGAACAAAUAUGUAUGUCAAAAACUCUAACUUGCAAGUUGCAUAUGAAGCAACGUCUUUAUGCUCAUCGUUUGAAGAAAGGUGCGUCUGUGCACGAACACUUAACAAUGUUUAAAGAAAUUCUCUCAAACUUGGAGGCCAUGGAGGUUCAGUAUGAUAAGGAAGAUCUAGGGUUGAUUCUACUUUGUUCGCUGCCCCCGUCUUAUUCAACCUUUAAAGAUACGAUUUUAUAUAGCCAUGAGUCUCUCACAGUUGAUGAGGUUUAUGAUUCUUUAACCUCAUAUGAUAAGAUAAAGCAUCUUGUGGUUAAAAUUGACUCUUAAAGAGAAAGUCUCAUUUUUCAUGGAAGAUAAGAUCGAAAUGCUAAUGAUGAUCGUGGAAGGACACAGGAACGAUAAUUUAGUAAUAAAUCUAAGGGUAGAUCGAAGUCUUCAAAUAGAGGUAAAACUUGUGACUUCUGCAAGAAGAAAAGGCGCAUUAAAUCUGAGUGCUAUAAGCUAUAGAACAAGAUCAAAAGGGAGGCUGCAAAUCAAAAUGGAAAAUAACAAGAAAAUUUUGGUAAAGCUGAUGCUGUAGAAGACUACAGCGAUGGUGAACUUCUAGUUGCUUCUGUCAACAGUUCUAAAGUAAGUGAGGAGUGGAUCUUGGAUUUGGGCUACACCUUCCACAUGAGUCCCAAUCAGGAUUGGUUUAGAACUUAUGAAAUAGUGUCUGAAGGUGUUGUUUUGAUGAGAAAUAAUGCUUCAUAUAGAAUCACAGGUGUUGCAACAAUUAAAGUUAAGAUGUUUGAUGGAGUUGUCAAAACACUUAGUGACGUAUGACAUGAUCUAGAAUCGAAGAGAAAUUUAAUUUUUUUGGGUACUCUUGAUUCAAAAUGGUACAAAUACACAGCUGAAAGUGGGGUUUUAAAUAUUUCCAAAUAUUCCCUCAUUGUGAUGAAAGGGCAAAGAAAGACUGCCAAGUUAUAUAUUUUACAGGGUUCUAUUGUUACUGGUGAUGCAGCUGUCGUAUCCUCUUCCCUGUCAGAUGAUGAUAUUACUAAACUUUGGCAUAUGUCCUAGGGCAUAUGAGUGAGAAUGGCAUGACAGAAUUGAGAAAAAGAGGACUUCUUGAUGGGCAAGGAAUUUGUAAAUUGAAGUUCUAUGAGCACUGUAUUUUUGGGAAGCAAAAGAGAGUUUGAUUCACUGGAGGAAUCCAUAACACAAAGGGAAUGUUGGAGUAUAUUCAUUCUAAUCUGUGGGGGCCAUCUAGAGUGCCUUCAAGAGGUGGAGCUAAUUAUAUGCUAACUUUUAUUGAUGAUUUUUCCAAAAAAAUUUGGGCGUUCUUCUUGAAGCAAAAAAGUAAUGUGUUUUCAGCAUUUAAGUCCUGAAAAACUAAGAUUGAAAAAUAGAUUGGAAAACAAAUAAAAUACCUUCGCACAGACAAUGACUUAGAGUUCUGUUCUGAUGAGUUUAAUAAACUGUACAAGUUAGAAGGGAUUGCGAGACACUUGACAGUUCGUCAUACUCCACAGUAAAAUGGUGUUGUAGAACGAAUUAACAGAAUGAUCAUGGAGAAGGUUCGAAGUGUGUUGUCAAAUGCCAACUUACCAAAGUUAGUUUGGGCCGAAGCAGUCUCUACUGCAAGUUUUUUGAUCAACCGAUCUCCAUCUGUUGUCAUUGAGAAAAAGACUCCACAAGAGGUAUGGUUUGGUAAUCCUACUGACUAUUCUGAUUUAUAGAUCUUUGGGUGUCCUGCAUAUGCUCAUGUUGAUAAUGGAAAAUUGGAACUGAGAUCCAUAAAUGUGUUUUUCUUAUUUAUAAAGCAGGUGUAAAAGGGUUUAAGUUAUAGUGUCCUAAAAAUAAGAAAGUUGUGAUUAGCAGAGAUGUUGUUUUUCAUGAAACUACUAUGCUACGUAACUUAUCUCUUAAAGACUCUUCAAAUAAAGAAAAUUAAAAAUAGGUAGAGCAUCAGAUUAAUCCAGAAUCUACAUCAGAGUUGACUUUUCAAGCCAUUAGAAAAAUACAAAGUAGAGUUGCUUCUUCACCACAAUACUUUAUAGUCAAAAAUAGAACCAGAAGAGAAAUUAAACCGCCAAAGAAGUAUGCUAAGGUUGAUCCAGUUGCUUAUGCUUUAAAUGUAGCUGAAGAUAUAAAUUGUAACACCCCAAAUUUUGGGCCUAGAAAAAAUAGGUUUUGAACAAGGGAAAAUUUAGGAGACUGCACAUAAAUAUUAAGCUGUGCAAGGAAGUGACAUAAAUAUCUGUCUGCUUUAGUGGUUAAGUGAUCUGGGAGUGUUUAAGAAGCCUGGGUUCAAGUCUUGGCUUCUGCAGAAUUUUUAGUUUUGCUUUUAAAUGAAUCUAGACAUUGGCAUAUAGGCCUUAUAAAUAAUAGUGUUAGUUUUAUGUCCCAAAAAAGCUUAUGGUCUAGUGGUAAGGUGACAUGUUGUAUAACUGUAAGGUAUGAGGUUCAAGUAUUGGGUUACGCAAUGGAGUAUUUAUUUUGCUGAUUGAGUUGGGUAGGUGGUGGGGUUGGAAUGAAAUAUUGCUAAAUAGAGUUUGAAUUGGUCAUAGAGAGAUUUGAGGAAGGAUAUGUGGAGAGAUUUGAGAAGAGAAUAUUGGGAUUUGGGGAGGUUAUUGUUGUAAAGAGAUAAAUAUAUCAUCUCAUUUGUUCCUUGUUCUGGAUGGGAGAUCGACGAGGUUUUCAAGGUUUUCGUCGCUUUCUCCAAACUGCAUUGCUUCCAUUCCUAACUAGUGGUGGUCGAGGUUGAUUAACACAUUGCCUAGGAACCAAGGAUGCGAUGAUCAUUAAUUUUCAGAAUAGGAGUGUUUAGAACGAAAUGAAUCUACAAAUCGUAUCAAGUGUGUAACCAUCCCACUGCAACUGUAGAACGCUAAAAAUCGAAAAGUCAAAAUAUGGCAUUGAGACGACACGAGUGUGCGAUUGCUCGUAUAGGAAGCCAAACCUACGAAUCAUGGGCGAGAAACUGUAGAGGCCUCAAUGAACAUUUUCAUGGGCUUAGGCCGUAAUGGGCCACAUUAGGUCGAAAUGGGCCGUGUGGGCUUAAUGGGUUUAUAGGGCCCACGUAGAUAAAAUCAAUUAUUUGUGGCAAAUUCUGGACUGGGUUGUGUAGAUCUCAUAAUCGUGUGAAAUCUGGGCUGAACGGGUCAUACGAGCGCGUGGGCCCACUUGGGUCGAGUAAUGAGCCUUGGGCCUAUUUACACUGUUAUGACCGAAAUACCCUAUAAGAUAAAAUGACCAAAAUACCCCCAUAUGGUAAAAUGAUCAAAAUACCCCUAUAGGGUAAAAUAACCAAAAUACCCUGAUAGGGUAAAAUUAUCAAAAUACCCCCACAAGGUAAAAUAACCUAAAUACCCCCAUAGGGUAAAAUGAUUGUUAUACCCCUAGGAGAUGAAAUGACUGUUAUGGCUUUAUGUUAUGUAUGACUGGUUUGUUCUAUGAUAUGUAUGACUAUGAUUGAGUAUGACAUCCUACAUACACGUAUGAUAUUAUGUCACGACAUAUUGCAUGGGGAUAGGUUGUUAUAUUUAGAGGACGUGUAACGUAUUGAUAAGGUUGCACGGGUCGUCCAAGACAACUAUGUACCUACUGAUGGCUAUAUGCCGUUUAUUUGACUGGCAACUUUGCUACAAUACUGUUUAGUGCCGCAACUAGUGCUAAUCUUGGUGUGUAUGGCUGGGUGAGUCGAUUUUAUCCCCACGAGGUGUGUUUGGCUGGAAGAAGUGGUGUGUAGAGGCAGGAUUGGGAGUUACAUUUAGUGGUAUCAAAGCCCAGUUGUAAAACUCGGUUGUGGAAUGGGUUUGAAAAUAUCUAGAAUUUAUGAAAAAUUAUUUUAAAUUAAAUUUUAAAGGACACAAGUGUGGUACAUCGAGUCUUCAGCACCGAAUCUGUAAGUUUCUAUAUACUGUAGGCUGCUUAAACUGAAAUAUAUUGAAAGACUACAAUAGAUAGUAAGCCUGUACUGAAACUCUUAAAUUAGAGAAAACUAAGACUGUAGGAAAACUGGAAGCUGUAGGGAGACCUUGACUUACAAAAACAAAACUAUGACUACUGGGUCUCAUAAGACAUCUGUUAAUAAUUACUGGAAUUACUCCCUAAUGCAUAAAAUUUCUUAACAUUGAUAAUACGUUAUUUGAUAUGAGCACAAGAGGUAUACAUGGACGAGGUACAAGAGGCCAUGGUAGAGGCCGUUGAGGUGCUCGAGUUAGGUCCUCAUCAUUUGGCCAUAUACCUAAUUUGGAACUAGAGUGUACAGCGGAAGCAUAGUGGUGGAGUCUGUGUUAUGCGACUGAUCUGAUAAUUAGAAAUUUUGAAGACGAAAUUUUUUUAAGGAGGGCUGAAUUGUAACACCCUAAAUUUUGGGCUUAAAAGAAAUAGGUUUUGAACAAGGGAACAGUUAGGAGACUGCAUAUAAAUAUUUAGUUGUGUAAGGAAGUGACAUUAAUAUAUAUCUGCUUCAGUGGUUAAGUCAUCUGGAAGUGUUUGAGAAGCCUAGGUUCAAGUCUUGGCUUCUGCAGAAUUUUUAGCUUUUCUUUUAAAUGAAUCUGGGCAUUGGCAUAUAGGCUUUAUAAAUAAUAGUGUUGGUUUUAUGUCACAAAAAGAGCUUGUGGUCUAGUGGCAAGAUGGUGUGUUGUGUAACUGUAAGGUUUGAGGUUCAAGUCCUGGGUUGCAUAAUAGAGUAUUUAUUUUGCUGAUUAAGCUAGGUAGAUGGUGGAGUUGGAAUGAAAUACUACUAAAUGUAGUUUGAAUUGGUCAUAGAGAGAUUUGAGGAGGGAUAUUUAGAGAGAAUAUUAGGAUUUGGGGAGAUUGUUGUUGUGGAGAGAUAUAUAUUAUAUCAUCUUAUUUGUUCCUCUUUCUGGAUGGGAGAUUGGCGAGGUUUUCAAGGUUUUCGUUGCUUUCUCCAAACUGCAUUGCCUCUAUUCCUAACUGGUGGUGGUCUCAGAAUAAAAGUGUUCGGAACAAAGGAAAUCUGCAAAUUGCAUCAGGUGUGUAACCACCCCACUGUAACUGUAGAACGGCAAAAGGUGAAAAGCUAAAAUACGUCGUUCAAACUGCACGAGUGUACGAUCACUCGUGUUGGAAGCAAAAUCUACGAACAUAGAUGAAACUAUAGAGGCCUUCAUGAGCAUUUCCAUGGGCUUAGGCCGUAAUGGGCCACAUUGGGCUGAAAUGGGCCGUGUUGGCUCUAUGGGCUUAUGGCCCCCAUACUGAUGAAAUCCACGCUUUGUGGAAAAUUCUGGACUGGGUUGUGUAGAUCUCAUAAUCGUGGAGAAAUCUAGACUAAACAGGCAUACGAGCGUGUGGGCCGACUUGGGUCGAGUAAUAGGCCUUAGACCCAUUUACAUUGUUUUCUUUUUACAGUACAGGUAAUCCUUAGCCAUAGGCAAUUUGGUGCUGCUAGGGACUCGGAGGUGGCCACACAACUGUAGUUGUUCUACAAUUGUUUUUAUUUAAAUAACUUGAGUUCGAGUUGGGUUUUGUUUUUUUUAAUAAGGCCAUUACGUAUCUUUAAAUUUUAAAUUGGGCUUUUGGUUACUUCCUUAAAAAUGAAAUUUAAUCCUAAGAGUUUUCAAAAGCUUUCACGGUUUUUAGAUCAACCUUUUAUAACAAUGGCAACAACAAGCCAAAAUUCCCGACUUAAUGAUUUGUUAAAUAAUAAUAAAGGGGUUUUUAAAAUUUAGAGGCUAAUUUUUAUCAAGGAGUCAUAGUUUUCGAAAAACACUUCAAUGUGACAUGCUAGAUUCGACCAUAACUCCUAGGCCAAGUUUGGGAUGUUACAUAUAUGCAAACCAAGAGCCAUCUAAUUAUUCUGAUGCGGUUAGCUGUGAAGAUUUAGAGAAGUGGAUAUUUGCUAUGCAAUAGGAGAUGAAAUCACUCCACAAAAAUAAAAUAUGGGAUCUUGUGAAACUUCUUAAAGGUAAAAAGGUUGCUUAUUGUAAAUGGGUGUUUAAAAAGAAAUAGGGGACUCUAGGAGUUGAAGAACCCAGAUAUAAAGCAAGGUAUGUUGCAAAAGGUUAUAGUCAAAUUCUAGGAGUGGACUUCACAGAUGUGUUCUCUCAGUUGUGAAGCUCCCCAAUUGUGAAGCAUAGUUCGAUUCGAGCUUUGCUUGGUAUUGUGGCCUUGCAUGAUUUGGAGCUUGAGUAGUUAGAUGUAAAAACUGCAUUUUUACAUGGAGAACUUGAGGAGGAUAUUUACAUGCAACAACUAGAGGGCCUUAUAGUAGCAGAAAAAGAUACUAUGUUUGCUUGCUAAAAAAGUCCCUUUACGGUUUGAAACAGUCACCAAGACAGUGGUACAAGAGAUUUGAUUCCUUUAUGACUUCUCAUGAUUUUAAAAGAAGUAGCUUUAACAGUUGUGUUUUCUUUAAGAAAAAAGUGAUGGUUCUUUUGUGUAUUUGCUCCUUUAUAUUAAUGACAUGUUGAUAGCAGUGAAAGAUAAAUGAGAGAUAAGAAAGGUCAAAGCACAACUAAGUGAAGAAUUUGAGAUGAAAGAUUUGGGACUAGCAAAGACGAUACUUGGUAUGGAGAUUCUCAAAAAUAGAAAAUCAUGUAAAUUGUACCUAAGUCAGAAGGGGUACAUUAAGAAAGUUCUUUGCAGAUUCAAUAUGCAGAAUGCUAAGCCUGUUAGUACUCCUUUAGCAGCCCAUUUCAAACUUUCAUCAUCUUUGUCUUCACAUUCAGAUGAUGAGAUUGAGUACAUGUCACAUGUUUCAUACUCUAGUGCAGUGGGAUCUCUCAUGUAUGCUAUAGUUUGUUUACAUUCAGAUUUAUCAUAUGCAUUUAGUACAGUUAGCAAAUACAUGGUGAAUCCCAAUAAUGAACAUUGGAAAGCAGUUCAGCGGAUUUUAAGAUACUUAUGCAGUACUGUUAAUGUUUGCUUACAGUUUGGAAGAACCAGAGAUAGAGUCAUUGGGUAUCUUGAUGUUGAUUUUAAUGGAGACCUUGAUAGAAGAAGAUCUCUCACAGGUUAUGUCUUUACAAUCAGAGGUUGUGCAAUCAAUUGGAAAGCCACUUUGCAAACUACAGUUGAUUUGUCUACUAUUGAAGCUGAGUACAUGGCGAUUACUGAGACUUGUAAAGAAGCUACUUGGUUAAAGGGACUCUAUAGUGAACUUAAAGAAGACAUUCAAAUCAAUACUGUAUUUUGUGACAACUAGAGUGCCAUCUUCCUUACAAAAGAUCAAAUGUUUCAUGAGAGAACAAAACACAUUAAUGUUCAGUAUCAUUUUGUUCGUGAUAUUAUUGCUCGUGGUGAUAUUGUUGUGAGCAAAAUUAGUAUUCAUGAAAAUCCUGCAGAUAUGAUAACUAAGUCACUUCUUAUAAACAAGUUUGAGCAUUGCUUAGACUUGAUUGGUGUUCAUUGUUGAACUUAACCUCUGAACUUCAACUUGAGCUUGACUCCCCGAAGGCAUGUAUUGCUACAAGCUAGAUCCAAAAUAUUGGGUCGGGUUAACAAAAGAUCCUUGAAAUCAAACCCGACCAUACCUUUCAGGACCCAAAACUUUAGUAAUAAUCCUGUUAUCAAUGUCCUCAAGAUGAACAGAACUAUCACUGGAAGCAAUCGCUUCGUGCUCCGCCUUUUUAUCCUUUAGUUUCUACUAAUAAAUCAGUCAAAUAGUUAGGAACGCAAAAUAUAUUAUAAAAACAAAUGUAACAUAACUAAAUAAUAUUUGCAUUACAAAUAAUGAAUUAAACCAUUUGAAAAUAAACACUAUAAAUAUUUAAAAUAAUUCAAAAUUUAAUAAGUAGACGUACCAUAAUUUCUGCAGCUUUAAGAGUCAUAGGAGAUCCAUCUUUCUUCCUAUGUGUAAUGUCAAAAAGCUGAAUGGGUCCAACUUUUUGACCGGACGACAGUUCCUACAAUAUGAUAGUAAAAAUAUUAUUUAAUGGAAAGUAAUAUAAAUCAUUUGACACUAUUAAUAAAUUCAAAAUACCCCGGCCUCAGCUACACAAGCAAAACUUUUUGACCCAGCAGUGUGAGUGAAUUUUUGUUUUUGCAUGCUGCUUUUUCCAACUCGUUCACGAUCCUACAUUAUGAAAUUAUUAUUACGUAUAUAGUAAAUACUAUAAACCAAAAUAAUUAUAAGAGUUUGGAAGUACGUAAUACCUCUCCUUUCUUUGAUGUCCAAAAUCUAACCGCAUCUUCCCAUUAGUACCUCAGCAUUCCCAGCGAGGCAUUUUGCAAUUUCUCUUCGAGGGCUGUUUUUAUCUUAAAAUAAUCUUUCUUUAAAUUACUUUUAUGGUCUCUCCAUCUUUUUCCCAAUGCCUUCUCUACAUAAGUAUCGGAGACCUCUAAAGCAAACAUCGCCUACAAAAAACACAAGUUAAGAAAGUAAAUAUAAACGAAACUUAAAAUCAAGUAUUAUAAAUGAAAUUAACAUUUUGUUACCUUAAUAUUAUCGAGAGCUUGAUUUUUGUUACUAUCAGGCAUUUGAUGCCAUGACUCGUAGUUGAUAGGCAACAUUUUUGCAUUUCACGCUAAAAUGCCCAAAUAUCCUUCUAAAAGUCGAGCUUUUGAUCCAACAGGCUGACCAAAACUGUUUCUACAUACUUUGACAUGCUCGACUGGAUCUAACUCGUAUAAAUCUUUAAGUAGCAUACGUCCUUGACCUCUGCGCGUCCCACCACUUUCAGCUAGAAAAUGGUAUAUUCUAAUAUAAGAAUUUGAAAAAGAAAUCAACAAUAACUCAACACGCAUGUAAAUUAAAUGUAAAAUUACUUUGAACUUCUGUAGGUUCGUCAGCUGUAAUCGAAACAUUCGAAGAUUCAAUAGCAGUCUAUUGUUCACUAUUUGUUUCUUCCGAGUUUUGAGUAUUUUGAACAAUGCUUAGAUCUUACAAUUUUCUUCUAGGCAUUUUAUCUGCAAUACACAUAAAAAAGUUGAAAAUUUAGUAACUAAUUACAACAAUAACAGCACAUAUAAAAUAAUUGAAUAUUUAAUAAGAGCAAGUUUUGAAUUAUGAUAUUACAUAUAAUUAAAAAAUCAUAAAAUCUUACUACAUCAAAAUCCGUAAAUAUCUUCAUCUGUAUCCUGGUGAACCCAUUAAAAUUGUGUACUAGUACUAGGGAUAUUUUCAUUUAAGUUUUGUUCUGGAAAGGGCAAAGUUUCUAGUCUGUCGUCGAUGUUAUCUCUACUUCCAUUGUCCAUGUCAAACAAGUCUCUAGGGAUGUCACGAAGUACAACAUACCAACCUCAUCAGUUGGAUCUUUUGAAUAAAAAAACUUGUUUGACUUGAGAAGAAAAUACAUAUGGCUCAUCUAUCAAUUGUUGUCCUGUGUGAAUUAACGGAGAGAAGUUUGCCAUUUUAAAACCAAAUUGAUCUUGCUUAAUUCCACGAGCAAUAUUCACAUCAGCCCAAUCCCCUUGAAAUAAGAUAACUUUCCAUUUGUCGUAGUAAUCCAACUCAAUUAUGUCAGUCAGAAGUUCGAAAUACCCCAUAUUUCCCUCAACAGGAUUGUUGUCCCUAGCACUAGCAUAACUCGUAAUUGAGGAAUUAACAACAAUUCCACAAUUUUGAGUUCUCCUCAAUCUCUCGCGAUAUUAUGUAUGAAAUCUAAAUUCGUUGAUGAGGAAGGCACUAUAUUUUUUAACCACUCUGUUUGAACCUUAGGAAAGGCAUUUAACUUUGUCAUUUACGUUCUUCACACUCCAAACCUACUGAAUGGAAAGUAAACUGAGUAAUUAUAAAUGUUAUGAUAAAACAUUAUUAUUUGUCAGGGAAAGCUUCAAUCACAUACAGUUUGGCUUAACCAUUCAUGAAAAGAUUCUGUAAAUAACUUAUUGAUCUUUUGAUGUUGUAAUCUUCGAGAGUGUGAACGAGAUCUCAAUAUUUGUUUGUACUCACUAUGUUAAAAAAAUGUGCACAUUGCUAGAAGAUAAUCAAUUUAUACUUGAUGAAUAUUUAUCAUAUUUCUAGAACUUACUUCCGUAACGGUUCCACUGAAUCAUGGUGAAACAGAACAUAUCGAUAUGCUUGUACCCACGAUAAAUCAUCUAAUUCCACAAUUUCAACUUUGCCGAUUGGUUCUCCAAAACUUUGAAACAAAUAAGUAUCGGCGAAGUUAUCAGUGAGUCUAGCAUUUCUUCUUGGUCUGUUCAACCUUGUUUCAACAUCUUCCAAAUAUCUUGAACAGAAAGUCAUACAUUUCUCAGCCAAGUAGCCUUCAGCAAUUGAUCCUUCUGGAUAAUACUUGUUGUGGCAGCAAGACUUCAAUUUGGAUAGGAACUUAAACACGAUGUACAGCAUCAUUAAAAAUUGUAACUAAAGCCAUACAGGUGAAUGAAGGAAAAUUUUACAAAUAAAUUAACACCUUUCUAUGGGAUACAUCUAUCGAUAGAAAACAGGUCCACCAAGAAUUGCUUCAUGCGGGAGAUGGAUUAGUGAAUGCACCAUAAUUCUGAAGAAGAAAUGUGGAAAGAUUUUCUCCAAGUUGCAUAAAGUCAAAGCGGCUUGAUCUUGUACUUUCUCAAGUUCUUGAACAUCCAAAACUUUGCCACAAAUGGCUUUUAUUAUAUUGGAUAGUUCAAUAAUACAAGAAGUCAUAUUUUUAGACAUACAACAUUGUAGAGCAACUGGUAGUAAAUCUUACAUCAAGAUGUGAUAGUUAUAUGAUUUUAAGGAAUAUAGUCUUCGAUUUUUAAUACUAACACAUCGAAAUAUAUUUGAUGCAUACGCAUCUGGAACCUUUAUACCCUUCAACACCAUGCAGAACACUUCUUUUUCCUUCUUCGACAUUGAAAAAAUAGAAGAUGACAACCGAUAUUUCCCGUUCGGAAGUGCUUGGGGAUAAGAUCAGGCCGAAUUUCCAUGUUGACUAAAUCAAGUCAACUCUAAAGAUUGUCUUUUGAUUUUCCUUCGACAUUCAAAAUUGUACAGAUAAUGUUCUCGCAAACAUUUUUCUCAAUGUGCAUGACAUCAAGAUUGUGUCGUAAAAGUUGAUGCUCUCAAUAAGGCAACUUAAAAAAUACUUCUUUUUUUUCACAAGUCUGCCUCAUUAGGAUCAUCCUUUUCAUUAGAGUCAUCAUUAGCUUUAUCAUUUGAUCUCCUAUUUCGUUGCAUGUUUGGCGGUUGGUUCAUCUUUCUAUAGCUAAAAUUCAUAUCUUCCAACAUGAACAAGAUUUUAGAUCCACUGGUCUGCGAAGGAGCUUCUCUUAACUCUUCAGUAUCGUCAAAUACAGAACUCUGAAAUCUAAAUCUAUGAUUUUCUGGUAACCACCGACAAUGCCCCAUGUAAGAGAACUUCUUCCAAUUAUAUAACCAUUGCGAACAUGUUUGCACAGCACAAUAAGGACAAGCAUAAUGACCAUUGGUACUCCAACUAGAUAAAUUGGCAUAAGCGAGGAAGUCAUUAAUAGUCCACAUCAAAACUACACACAAAUUAAAGUUCUCAUUUCUUAGUACAUCGUAUGUCUCAACACCAGCCCAUAAUUGUUUUAACUCUUCAAUAAGUGGCUGUAAAUAAAUGUCGAUGUCGGAGGAAAAUUGUAAAGAACAAGCACUACAGACCAGGUACUGUACGUAGUGUUCAUGAUCUUGUAUGGAUUAAAUCAAUCAGAUGCUAGCCCAAGCCUCACACUCCUAGGAUCGCUUGCAAAGCUUGGAAAUUUACUUUCAAAUGAUUCCCAAGCUAAAGAAUCUACCGGAUACCUUAGUAAUCCAUCAUUGGUUCGUCCAUCAUGGUGCCACGUCAUCGACUUGGCCGUCUUCGAUGACAUGAAAAGCCUCUGAAGCCUUGGUAUUAGUGAAAAAUAUCGUAAAAUCUUAUUUGGCUUCUUCCUUGACUGUGCGUCAUUUUCAUCGUCAUUCCCAUAAUCUGUGUUUCUAUUCAUCCAACGAGAUUGGCCGCAUACAUGACAACACUGCUGGUUUUUUUUUAUCACCCCAAUACAACAUGCAGUCAUUCGGGCAACUAUGAAUUUUGUUGUACCCAAGACCUAAAUCUUUUAUCAUUUUCUUUAUAUCUUUACAUGAGUGAGGGAUUUUUGCAAACGAAAACAUAUCUCUUAAAAACUCUAACAGCGUUGUCAAAGAGUUUCUGGUCCACCCUCCCAAACAUUUUAACUGAAAAAGACAAAUAUAGAAUGACAUUUUUGAAAAUUUUGAUUCCUCAUAAAGUUCUUUGUUCAUUUCAUUAAGUAGCUCGUAGAACUUCGCCGCUUCUCCGUUCGGCUCUUCAUGACGUACACUUCUUCUCGGUUCGGUAAAAGCAUCUCCACCAAGAUUACAAUUAUCAGGUGCCACAAAGUCAGCUGGGAACGACUGCAAACCAUGAUUGUGCAUAUUAAAUGCAUCCCGCAACAUCCCUUCCAUGUCAUCCCCUCUAACAGACUGAUGGUAAUUAGUACCAAGAUAAGAUACAUCCAUCCUUGAAGAGGAAGUACUAGGCGGGCAUUCUCCAUGAAAAAGCCAUUGUUUAUAACCCCGAGCAAACCCAUCAACAAUUAGAUGCUCGUAUACAACUUCACGAUAAUGCUAGUUUAUAUUGACACACUUCUUACACGGGCAAAGAAUCAUGUUCUCUUGGCUUGCACAUUGAAAUGAAAAAUUUAGAAAAGUUUGUACUCCAUUUCGAUAACCAUUGCUUACCCUUGACAAAUUCAUCCAAGACCGGUCCAUUUCUUUAUUCUUGAAGUCUGAUGUUGACAAUAAAUUACAAGGGUAAGUUGUUCAGUUAUAACCUUAUAAAUGACUUAUGUAAGUUACGUAAGUUAUGUAAGUAAUGUAUUAUGUAAGUUGUGUAUAAUAUUAUUUAAGUUAUGUAAGUUGUGUAUUAUGUAAGUUACGUAAGUUAUGUAGGCUAUGUUUUAUGUAAGUUACGUAAGUUAUGUAGGCUAUAUUUUAUGUAAGUUAUUUAAGUUAUGUAAGCUAUGUAUUAUGCAAGUUAUGUAAGUAGUGUAUUAUGAAAGUUAUGUAAGUUGUGUAUUAUGUAAGUUACGUAAGUUAUGUAGGCUAUGUAUUAUGUAAGUUAUUUAAGUUAUGUAAGUUAUGUAAGUAGUGUAUUAUGAAAGUUAUGUAAGUAGUGUAUUAUAUAAGUUAUAUAUUAUGAAAGUUAUGUAAGCUGUGUAUUAUGUAUUAUGUAAGGUAUGUAAGUUGUGUAUUAUGUAUUAUGUAAGGUAUGUAAGUUGUGUAUUAUGUAUUAUGUAAGUUAUGUGAGUUGUGUAAGUUGAGUUAUGAUAUAUAUACAUAAUUAAGUUAUGUAUGUUACGUGAGUUAUGUAAGUUGAGUUAUAUAUAAGUUAUUAACCCCUGUAAGUUAUCUGAGUUAUAUAUUGGUUAUAUAUACAAAAUAUAGGUUUUAAUAUUUAAAAUACACAUAAAAUAGGUAAUAUAUCCAUACUAAUAUAGGUGAUAUAUUAAAAAUAUAGAUUUUAAUAUUUAAAAAUAUAAAAUAAAUAAUUAUGUUUAAAAUUUAAAAAGUUAUUAGUAAUGAAUUUGAAAUAUAGGUUAUAUUCCCAUACUAAUAUAGGUGAUAGAUUAAAAAUAUAGGUUUUAAUAUUUAAAAAUAUAAAAUAAAUAAUUAUGUUUAAAAUUUAAAAAGUUGUUAGUAAUGAAUUUGAAAUAUAGGUUAUAUUCCCAUACUAAUAUAGGUUAUAUAUUAACAAUAAAGUUUAAACAUAUUUAAAAUAUAAUAUUUAUAAAUAUUUUUAAAAUUUAAAAAAUAAUUAGUAAUGAAUCUGAAAUAUAGGUUAUAUUCCCAUACUAAUAUAGGUUAUAUAUUAACAAUAUAGUUUAAACAUAUUUAAAAUAUACUAGUUAUAAAUAUUUUUAAAAAUUAAAAAGUAAUUAGUAAUGAAUCUGAAAUAUAGGUUAUAUAUUUGAUUAAAAUAUAUAGGUAAUAUAGGUAAUAUUUGAUUAAAAUAUUAAGUAAAAUUAAUUAAUUAAAAUAAAUAAUAAAGAUAUAUUUGACCAGUAGUUCCUCGACCGCUAGCUAAGUCGAUGAUAGUAAAAAAAAUUCCAGCGCGCUCAUUUUCUUUAUAGUUACCACAAACUUUUCCGACAAUUUUAAGUCCCGUUGUAAAUAGGAUUAUUUUGACAGCAUUUUAAAGUGCCGGUAAAAGUCAAAUUUAGAUUUAAAUUUAAAUAUUAAUAUACGAAACAUUUUCAGACCUUCAUAAUUGUCAGAAAAAAAUCAUAUUCGCAUUAAAUAAACAGGAAUUUAUGGUCUGUUACCUUGACAGACACGUUGUACAUAUGCAAUCGCAAGAAUCAGUUCAUCAAUGGAAGCAGACUAACAACAAUACAAAAGUUUAGAAACCUUAGAACAUUUAGAUGAAAACCGAGUAAUCUUAAAUGCUUCAUAUAUUUUGUUAAGCACAAGAUAACCUGCUGAUUUAUAUAACCAAACUAACUUCAACAAAAUUAAUUGCUUCAUAACAGAAGAACUUAGUAACCAACUUCAACACACUUAACUAACAGGAACUGCACUGUCUACAGUGGGUUCAAUAGUACAAGUCUGUUGUUCACACUUUCUAAACAUUUCCUUAGGUAGAACAAUUUAGUCUGCAUAAUUUAUAUAAGUAGUAAACAAUAAAUAUGAUCAAAAAACAACAAAUAUUAAUAGAGUUAGUUGCAGACAGAAGCCAUUUUCAGACAUGGAUACUUAAUAAUAAGGUUAGUCUUGGAAUUCCUAAAUAAAUCAAUGUCUGUAAGGAAUGAAGAUUAGCAAGAUAUAUAUAAGUUCACCAUGAUAUUGCUUCGAGCCAUGAGACAAAACACAGAACUAAUCAAAACCAGGCUGUUUAAACUGAUGGUUGAUAUAAUUUUAACAUUUGAACCUAAAACACUCCAAGGCAAAGUUCUAAAGGCUCUCCUCAAGCAACUAAAGAUACACAAUAUAUAAGAAGUGCUGUCAUUGCAUGUGCGUCCAACCAUAGAGCAAACUUAUAUAUUGCAACGUAUACUAGACAAAAGCAGCAUUGAUUUAAAUGCAUAGAUAAAAUUGGCGAUUGCCAAGUUUAAAGCAAAAUGAAAAGAAAAAACCAGUGAGAGGUACCAAAUUAAAACAGACGAUAUACAACAUUAACCUAAUUCCAGCAAAAAAGACUUGCAGCAACAUUAACCAAAUUCCAAAUUAAAAGAUGCCCCAACUACAAAUAUACCAAAUUUGCUUCAAACCAGUGAGAGGUACCAAAUUUGCAGACUAAAUUGCUAAAACUAAAUUGCUACAGUCAAAAUGAAAAGAAAAAACUAAGAAAAAAAAUACUACUCUGCCUCUGCCUGACUACAUUGCUAAAACUGCAUGAUAUUCGAGACAAUAAUGCAGUAUCGAUAUAUUUUAAUUAAAUUAUAAACAAAAUAAUCAUCAUGAACUUGUUCAAUAAAACUGUUUUUACAUAAACUUAAGUGAAUAAUAAACUUUCUAAGUAUCUAAAUCAAAAUAUUAUAAAAGCGUAUUUUUUAUAUAAAAAUCUAUUACAUUAUAUGAGUACUAACUGUAUAAUACAUAACAGGCUGAUUAAACUGCAAAUAGGAAGACAAAACAAAGGUCCUGAUUCCUUUAACAAAAAACGAAUAGAAAGACAAAACAAGGUUUAGAAUAUGCUUUAAAAUCGUUUUUAAAAUCGAAAAUAACUUUAACCACAAACAAAUUAAAUUAGGCAUUCGAAAGCCUACAUUCUACGGUCAAAAUGUAAGACAGUCAAGUCGGUUAAAACCCUAAACAGACUAAAUUGGCAAACCUAGAAUUAAGAGAGAAGAAAACAAUACCUUUAGAAAGAUGAAGAGAAAUUAAAUCGGUUCGGAUCAAAUUCCACGAGUAAAUUCCAAAAUGCGAACGUUUUCGGAAACCCUAAAACCAAGGAUGAACUUCAAUGUUAACGAUUCAAACGAGUAAAUUCCACGAGUAAUUUCGCAAAAACCCUAAACACGCAAAAGAAAAAAAUAAAAGAAAUCAAACUGGUUCAAGCUUACCCAAAAAACAGAAUCUCCACUGCUCUGUCUUCGUGUAAAUGCCGUGAAGAAUCGAAUAAGUAACGAUAUAUUUGAAGAAUCGAACAAACAAAAAUAAAACCAACAGCAGUUUUACAGGAUCAACUCAGUGAAUGACUGGAAUUAGGGAUUUGGGAGAGCUUUCGAAGGGGAAUUAGGGAUUUGGAAGGGGAAGAUUUCUGUAAUUAGGGGCUGGGUGCAGGAAAGGGGAACAAAAAUGUCACUCUAAGCAAAACGACGACGUUCCGAUAUAAUUUUUCAGUUCCUGAAACAAAACGGCGACGCUUUCAACAUUUUCUAAUACACACGUUUUCAGCCAAAACGCCGCUAAAGCUUGCAAUUUGCGGUGAUUUUGAGAAAAACGCCACUAAAGCGUUAAAAUCAUUUAAGCAAACGAUGCCAUUUUUGUGCACUUUUUUAUACAUUUUUGCGGCGUUUCUAUAAAAAACGCCGCUAUUGCAUACCUUCUGCGGCAUUUUUCACAAAAACGCCACUAAAAAUCAAAUUCCUAUGACCAAACGGCGCCGUUUUGUAUAAUUUUUAACACAUUAUCGCGGCGUUUUUGGUCCAAACGUCACUAAUGUUAAAAUUUUUUUAAAAUUUAAUUAUUUAAUAAAAUUUAAUUAUUCUAUGAAGUCAGGUUGUGUUUUUCAAAAAACUACUUAAUCUAAACCCUAAACCUCUAACGCUUAACCCCUAGCUAACUCCUAAACCCUAAGCCCCAACCUUGAACCAUAAACUACAAACCAUACUAAUCCAUGAACUCUUAACCCAUAUCCCUUAAACCUUGAAUCAUAAAACAUUAACUAUAAACCUUAAACCCCUAACCCUUAACCCCCAACACCUAAACCUUAAACCCUAACCCUUAAACCAUAAUCCUAAAACCCUUAACCUAUAUUCGUUACACCCUAAAUCAUAGAACAUAUAUAAAUUCUAAACCCUAAAUCAUAUAUAGAGCAUAUAUAAACUAAAAACCUUAAACCCUAACCCUUUAACAAUAAACCAUAACCCCACAUCCAUAAUCCCUAAUCCGCUAAUGCGUCUAAAGCUUAACAAAAAAAGUUGCUUAACUUUUUCUGGUGUUUUCAAAAAUCGCCGCUAAUGCUUGACUUUUACGGCGCUUUUUGUAAAACGCCGCUAAUGACUGUAACGCUCAACAAAAAAUGAAGCCGUUUGCUUAAAAUUUUUGCAGCGCUUCUAAAAAAGCGCCGCUAAUACUUGACUUCUGCGGCGUUUUUAUAAAAGCGCCACUAAUGUCUGUAAACCUCAACAAAAAACAUUGUUGUUUGCUUAUAAACUUUUGCGGUGCUACUGUGAAAGCGCGGCUAAUUCCUGACUUUUGCGGUGUUUUUAGGAAAGCGCCACUAAUGUCUCUAAAACUGAAAAAACAAACGACGUCGUUUGCUUGAAACUUAUGUGGGGCUUUUGAAAAAGUGCUGCUAAUGACUGACUUCUGCGGCGUUUUUCAAAAAGCGCCACUACUGUCUGUAAAGCUCAACAAAAAUGACGUCGUUUGCUUAGAAACUUUUGUGGCACUAAUGAGAAGGCACCGCUAAUGCUUGACUUCUGCGGCGUUUUUUGGAAAGCCCCACUAAUGUGUCUAAACCUCAACAAAAAAAAUGACAUUGUUUGUUAAAACCUUUGCGAACAAAAGUGUCGCUAAUGCUUGACUUCUGCGGCAUUUUUUGGAAAGCGCCACUAAUGUGUCUAAACCUCAACAAAAAAACGUCGUUUGUUAAAACCUUUGCAGCGCUUUUGAGAAAGCGUCGCUAAUGCUUGACUUUUGCGGCUUUUAUUUAGAAGCGCCACUAAGGUAUUUGAGGCUCAACAAGAAAACGACAUCGUUUGCCUUACCCUUUUGUGGUGGUUUUCGAAAAACGCCGCUAUUGCUUAUAUUUUGCGGUGUUUAUUUAAAUUUGCCGCUAAUGCUCGAUUUCUUGCUGCGUUUUUUUGUUAAAACACCGCUAUAAACGCCGCUAAAAGCCUGUUUUGGUGUAGUGAAAUUUACUAAGUUUUUGGGGUUUUGAGUUUUUGAGUUUAUCAAAAUCACAAAUAUAUAUAUAUAUAUAUUUAUAUAUAUAAAUUUAUCAGCAUUUAGUUAUAUGUGUUUCAAUAUAAUUACUUUUUAUAUUUAAUUACAUGUGUUUGAGAAUAAAGUUGAUAGAAUUUUUAAAUAUGGUGGGUGAUAUUUAUUAAAUUAUUUAGAAUACAAAUCAAAUUAAUAAAAUGUGUAAGUAUUAAGGAAUAAAAGUGUUAUUAUGCCAGUUGGAAAAGACAACAUCAUCACUUCUGUUAACUAUUUAACGGAGAGUGAUCACAAUAGAAACAAUCUAAAGUGUGAGUAUUCAAAAUAGAAAUAAUCUAAAACGUUAGUGGCUAAAUUUAAAAAUUUCAUAGUUGGGUGACUAAUUCUAUAGUUUACUUUAGAUGGUAGAAGCAAUUAGGAUUAAUUCCACCAAACAUCUCAAACUAUUACUCAUAUUUUAAAUUGAACCCUAAAGUUAUAUACAUUCUAAUUAAAUUACUCAAAUAGAAUGUGAUUGUACUAGGCCUAUUUUGCCCGAGCCCAAGACAAAUAAAAUAAAAAAUAACAGUCCAAAUUACAAAACAAAAUGGCAGGCCCAAACUCAAAUAGCCCAAAACUAAACAAACCCAACAACCUAAAACUAAACACAAACCCUAGCCCCCCUAAACCCUAAUGCGCCGCACCUAGCUACCUGCCAUUGUCAGUCUGCCGCCGCCCCUAUCCUCUGCUGCUGUCAGCACUGCCACCGCCGAAGCCACCAACUCCACUUGCCACCGCCCCUUUUAAAUUUCAUUCUAAUUUCAACUUAGUCCUUAUUUAUUUAUUCAUUUAUUAUAAUUUAGACUAUUAAUUUCGUUUUGCUUUCGAUCUAAUCCCUUAUUUAUUUAAUUUCAGCCUUUCAUGAUUUUUUUAUUUAUUAUUUACUUGUUUAUUUAUUAUUGCCUCGCUUUUUAUUUUAAAACUUAUAUGGUUCAUAUUUGUAUAUUGUUGCCAUAUUGUCAUUGUUAUUUAGUUAUUUUUUUAUUAUUUUUGAUACUUUUCAUGUCACGUCCUUUUUAAUCAUGCAUCUUCCUUUUAUUUUUAUUUUGAGUUAUCUUGUUUAUUUUAUUAUUAUGAUUAUAUUAUUGUUAUUACAACAUCCCUUUAUUUAUUUAUAUUUUAUCAUUCACUAAUCUUAUGUUAUCCUUUUAUGGACUUUGCUUUGCUUUGUUUUAUUUUAUUUUAUUUUAUCUAUUAUUCCCUUACUUUUUUUUUAAUUUUGUGUUUUUAAAUUCCUCUUUCGUGUGCCCUUUUUUAUGUUUCAUAAUUGUUAUCAUUAUUAUUUAUUAUACUUUUUGUUAUUUGUAUUAAUAUUAUGAUUAUGAUUAUUAAUAUUAUAAAUCGACAAUUUUAUCGUUACCAUUGUAUUAUUAUCAAUCACUAGCAUAGCAUCUUCAGUUUAUCUUUUAUUUGUUCAUUUGUUCAUUUAUUUGUUUGCCUAAUAUUUUAAUAUCGUAUCUUUGUUUCUCUACUACCAUGUUAUCUUAUUUUUUGUCAACACCAUGUCACGGACCGUAUUCGAAUAUAUUUACCCAUUUUUAUACUAUGCUUAAAUAAGUUAAAUGUGCAUUUCUUAAAAUUUUAUAUUCAUUUUUUUACUCGAUGUAUAACAAGAAAUUUUUAAAAUCAAAGUAAAUGUUCAUUAUUUUCGGAAUUAGAAGAGCCGUGUUCCUAACUUACGGAAUAUGACUUUCUCCUAAAACCAAAAUAGUCGAACAUCUAUUUCAAAAAAUAAAAACGGGAUUUAAGUGAUGAUUAGAUGGAGUUCUUUUUUGUUCUCGAGGAUCUAAGGCAUUGUGUCCUAACUUACGGGACAUGGUCCUUUUUUCUCGAUUAACUUAAAAUAAGCCCCUUUUCAUGAAAAUUAAUUUAGUAAAGUAAUGUCUUAACAAAGGACCGUAUUUUAAAUCUCUUCAAAGUUUUCAAUUUUCAACACUAAGGCACUAAUUAAUCGACUAGGUACCAAUUUUGGGCGUAACGAGGGUGCUAAUCCUUCCUCGUACGUAACCGACUCCUGAACCCAUCUUUCUAAAUUUCGUGGACCAAAAUCAUUGUUUUAAUAAAUCAAAUCGUUUAUUAAAAUAACUACUCUUUUUUAGGUGACCCGAUCACACCUCAUUAAAAAGGAUUGGUGGCGACUCCCGUGUUCAUUUUCAUUUUCAAAAUUAAAGUCGACCCCUUUUAUCAAAAAAUAGGUUUCGACAGUGAUAAUAUGUUAUGCUAUUAUUCAUCGAUAGUGCAUAGAACUUAUGCACCAACAAUACAUCAAAUAUUCUCAUUAAAAAAAUGUAUAAAAUAAGUUUUAUACCAUCUAUAAUUUGUAAAAAAAAGUAUCCAAUAAAAAAUAUAAAAACACAUAUCUAUAAUUUCACAAAAAGAAUUACAUUAAUCCAAACCAAAUCAUUUCUUUUUAUAAAUUCAAUUCCAAAUCUCCUGUAAUAAAUCAACCUCACAAAAUAUACAUCACACAAAUCUGAUUCAGGUUAAAAACAAAGAAUGCAUGUAUUGUGCAAUUAAAACCAUGAUCCAUAGUCAAUUCUAAAGUAUUGAACAUCUAAUUUUGCAUUAUUUUACCUCCCUUGAUUCUUCACAAACUCUUUGGAAUAAAUUAACCAUCUAUUCCUUAUUUCAAUUUUAUUAAAAAGAUAGGUUCCCAUAAAGACAGUCUUGACAAACCAGUGCACCUAUCAUAAACACAUCAGGGAACAUUGCCAUGAGAGAGGACCUAAGAAAACAUAAUACAAACUACAUAACAUACAAUCAAGCACCCACACAAAAUGUUUAUUAAACAGCUACAGAAAAAGGCCAGCAUACCACCAAGCAAUGAAGUUUUCUGUUCUGUUCGCAACUUGUUGAACUCGCCGAAGUGUUAGCUUCCCUACCUUUGUCCAAAUCUUUGUUGAACUCGCUCCACGAUCCUAAUCAACCACCAUGGUUUUCCAGUCGUGAAUACAAUGUAUGCCAUGCUCAUUCCCAGCACCAACCCAUAUCCAUACCCCAUCAAUUUUGAAAAUUUCCAAUUCAAUUCAUCACCAUCAUCAUCUCUAUCAAAUUUGGCUGGAGUUUCCUCAUCAAUACCACAGUUUUUUGAUAAUGGCAAACCACAUAAAUCCAAAUUUCCUAUGUAGGAAUCGUUAGUGAAAGUAUCAAAUUGUUUGCCUUGAGGAAUGGGUCCCUUGAGAUUAUUUUUAGAAAGGUUUAACACCUCUAAGAAUCCAAGAUUUUUUAACUCUGUUGGAAUUCUUCCUUGCAGCUUAUUUGAUGAGAGAUCUAAUGAUUCAAGCUCUGACAAAUUACCUAAAGAUGAUGGGAUAGGGCCUGUUAAACAGUUAUGGGAGAGAUUUAGGACAAUAAGUAAAUGAAGCUCACCAAGUAUUUUUGGAAUUUCUCCCCUGAAUUGGUUACUAGAAAGGUCAAUAAUCGUCCAAAUGGAUAAUAGUGAUUCAAACUUUAUUUCCUGCCCUUUUGCUGUAACAGAUAAACCAU
rnacentral:lncRNA from 1 species